rnacentral:rRNA from 1 species
AGCGAACGCUGGCGGCAGGCUUAACACAUGCAAGUCGAACGGGCGUAGCAAUACGUCAGUGGCAGACGGGUGAGUAACGCGUGGGAACGUUACCUUUUGGUUCGGAACAACCCAGGGAAACGUUGGGCUAAUACCGGAUAAGCCCGUUACGGGGAAAGAUUUAUCGCCGAAAGAUCGGCCCGCGUCUGAUUAGCUAGUUGGUGUGGUAACGGCGCACCAAGGCGACGAUCAGUAGCUGGUCUGAGAGGAUGAUCAGCCACAUUGGGACUGAGAC